AAUUGCGUUUGUCUGUUACUCUUGAAUAAGCACCCCCCGCUUUUUUUUGCUGGUAUAAUAACUGGCCUUUUAAUUUUUUUAAGGUUAACACAAUGAUGUCGCCUGCAGAACCUGGUUGGGGACGAAUGUUACUGAAGGGAAAGACAAUGACCAGGAACUUCUCCAGAGUCAAGUAUGUCAGCAGCAGGACGGAGACUUCGGUGGACAGCAUGGCCAGGAAUCCCAUGAGGCGGCACUAGACUGAAGUUGUUUAAGACUUUCAAACUGGUUCUUGUGGAGAUACAAAAGAGGAUUGGACGAAAGAUUCCUUUUGUACCAUCAGAAAGAGGAAGGAAAGAAGCAUUGGGAUGUUAUUAUUUUGGGAGCUCAGAUGUUGCCAUUUAAAUCUGAUGAUGGUGGAAAAAAGAACUUACAGUUUCUGUAGAAGCUUCAGAUCUUUAAAAAUGUGGGCUGGUAGCUCCAUUAUCAUAUUGCUAGAUAGGUCCCUGUUGAUGACAGUGAAAACCCAAAGCAGUUACAUUGAAAAUAAAUGACAUAGGUAUUACUCCUCACAAUUAUCAUCAUCCCAUUUGACAUCACAGAAAAUAUGAUCCACUUUAACCAACCUGAUAACUUGUUACAAAACAGGGCUGCGUGAGUCAGCCAAAUGGAUAUGUUUUCCAUCAUUUCAGACGUGUGACAUUUUGCUCAUCUAGUUCCUGUCUGGAAUUUCCUCUCGGUCCCUCUCCAACACAUUCCCAACAUGGCUUCAAUAUCUACUUUGAGUAAUUUCCUCUGUUUCAGGCACUCUUUGUACACUGCAAUCAUUCAUUUGGUUUUGUGAUUCCUACUUGGUUGAAGCAUGUGAUAUCUUGUUUAUCCAACUAGAGUUACAAGCUUUCUGAGGCCAAGGCCUUUGCCUUUACUUACUUUGCAUUCCAACUAAGACAGUAUUGGCCACAUAUUAUCCUCCUAGAUAAUCUUGAAUAGAUACAUUCAUGCUUUUUAAAUCUAUUUUGAUAUUGUACUAAUUUUUAAGGAAAUUAAAAUUUUAGAAUGAAAUAUUAUAGUACUGUCCAAUCCAUGAAGAAUCAUAGCAAAAUGUUUCUAGAGGAUGUAGGAAAGGUUUAUCUAGGAUCAGAAGGAAUUAGGAAUCUUUAAGAGUCUAAAAUAUGCUUCUGAACCACGGAAUGUAUUAAAAAG